rnacentral:sRNA from 1 species
CACUGGUAAAAAUGUAUUAUGCAUCCACAGGGCUAUAUAUUAAAAUCAGUAUUAAUGUUGGAAAUAUCAUAUCCCUUAGGGACUUUCAUUAUAAUAGAGAAAAAAGGGACAAAAUAUUAAACAACAUAGAUGAGUUUAUUCAAAUCUAAUGGUUACAGGAGUGUUGCUAAGUGUUUAGACAUGUAACUUGCAUUUGAAUCAAUGAACAUUUCUCAGGAAUUGUCUCCAGGGGUUGGAGAAUGGAGUAGUGAGAGGAUGGGUAGCAAAAACAUUUAGUAGUGUCAGUUGGCUUUUGCGAAACUAACUUCUCCCAGAUUUGGGGAAAAGGGAAAUGUUUAAGUAACCUAGGAAGACACACAUGUUUGUAAACCAUGCCAGUAGUUAUGCUAAUUUUUAUUAUUUUAUUUCAGAUGUUACUUUAAGCUUACUCCCUUCAAACGAAACAGGUAACAUCAAGUGAUUUCUAAAUGUAAUAGCUUCUUCUGCAGCCUCUUGAGUUCUUGCUUGUGCGGUCUACUGGGUUACUAAAGAGUUUUCUUUUGCCUCCUUGCCCUUUUUCCUGUGCCUUCAACCAUCGAUUUAUGACCCCUUUGACUUUGACAUUGAACUAUAAUUCUGUCACCACACUCCCAAACUUCCAAACGAUGGCCACAGCACUCCAUUUAAAAUAGCAUGUAUUAUUUUUGUGAUUAUAAUAGUGAUACAUAUUAGCUCAUAAAGAUGGAGAAUAUAGAGAAAUGCAAAGAGGAAAAUACAAAUCAUCUUUAAUGUUACUUUCCUAAGACUAUGACUGUUAACAAUUUGGUCUAUUUCCAUUCAGUAUCAUUUAUACAUAUAUUUAUAUACAUAUACUCUUAUAUCCUUUGCAAAAUAGUCAUAAUUUACAUAGAUUUUUGUAUCUUGCCCUUUUGACUUAAUAUUACGUUAGAAGUAUCUUCCAGUGUCCCUUACUAUUAUGACUUGAUAAUAUUCCAUUUUGUACCAUAUGUUGAACUUUAAAGUUGUUUCUAUCUUUUUAAUAGAAGUUAUUGCAAUGAACAUUCUAGUGCCAACAUCUUUGCAUUCAUUUCUUAUUUCUGUAGGAUACAUUCUAAGGAUUGCAGUAUGCAAGGAUUGCAUUCUAAGGGUCAGCAGUAUGAAUAUUAUAAGACUCUUGAUACUACUGCUUGGUUACCUUCUAGAAAAGUCGUGCCCAGCGACAUUCCUGUCCUCAGUGGAUGAGAAUGUCUGUCACUGUACCUUUGCUGAGACUGUAUCAUAUCUUAUUAAAGCUUUCUCUCAACUCUUAGGUUUUAUUUUUCAUUCAUGAUUAUUAGUGAAGUUAAACAUUUUUACCCCAGAGCACUUUAGUUACCAGAACCAGAAGUUCAUUUCACAGUUGUAUUUUGUUUGCUCUGAAAAGGAAACUAUCAGGGCAAACAAAAUAAUAUAUUUAAAAGAUUCUUUUUUUUUUUUUUUUUUUGAGACGGAGUCUCGCUCUGUCACCCAGGCUGGAGGGCAGUGGCGCCUUCUCGGCUCACUGCAAGCUCCGCCUCAUGGGUUCACGCCAUUCUCCUGCCUCAGCCUCCCGAGGAGCUGGGACUACAGGUGCCCGCCACCACGCCUGGCUAAUUUUUUGUAUUUUUAGUAGAAAUGGAGUUUCACCGUGUUAGCCAGGAUGGUCUCGAUCUCCUGACCUCGUGAUCCGCCCGCCUCAGCCUCCCAAAGUGCUGGGAUUACAGGCGUGAGCCACGGCGCCCGGCCCUAAAAGAUUCUUAAUGACAAUGUGAAAUGCUAUCAGCCUUCAUAAUUACCACCCAUCAUUGCUUAUGGGUCACAUUGAAACCUGACAGUUUCAGAAACCUCAUUUGUGUGUCUUUGUUACUGAUGAGUUUCUGCCAGGAUAACAUCAUCAUUCUUAAGUGUGUCUCCAAUCUCUGAGCUUGGCCUUUUCUUCAGAAUUUGCCCAUCCACCCUAGGUGACAGCUUCGGUGAAAAUCUAUGCCCUGAACACAGCUUCUUUCCAUUGGCCAUUUUUACAGCAAAGAUUUCUGUACCUGGUUCUCCAUUACCUGGGGAAUGAACCAUGGGCUCUGUCCCCAAAAUGUUUGGAAGACAUUUCUAAAGUUUGCUUCUUCAGGGCAUGUUAAUAUUUGCCUGUGAGUCACUCACUUUGAACAGUCCUGGUUCUGCCGUGGGCGUGUUAUGUGAUUGUGUAUAGGUGGAUGAUCUCGACCUCUCUGAGAAUAGCAUUCUCCAUCAAUACAAUGGGGAUAGUAUUAUGUUAACUCCUAAAGAAGAUAGCAAGACACUUGAUUGUAUAAUAGCAAUACUUUACAUCCCAUGUGUACUGUUUCACAUUAAUUUUUAUUCUGAAUUACCUGCUCUUUACAACCUAUCACCUGAAGGUCCCGAUAGUGGCUUAAUUCUACAUAUCUGAAGUGUAAGUCCACAUCAUUUGUCUAGCAGCAGUGUGUGGAAAGUAAAGUAGAAUUACACAGGCAGUGGGGUGUGUAAUGGGUGUGAUCUAACUGUGUAAACAUGGAACUCCAACUCCCAGACUCACCCUGUGCCAAUGCUACGUGAUCCGUGGAUGCGGUUCCUAUUCAUUCUGCUGCUGAGAUGACCGAUAGUGUCUUAAAGGUGUCAACAGUGUGACUUUUUUUUUAGCACUUCACUAAAAUGAUAGUCAUGGCAAAUUGUUUUUAAAAAACAAGCAAUGAUUAUUCUCUAAUAUUUAAGUUGUUUCUUUGCAGAAAAAACUAAAAUCACUAUAGUAAAAACCUUCAAUGCAUCAGGUAUGACUUAUUAUCAAUAUCAAGACUUUCCUUUUUAUAACUAAAGUAAAAUUAAACAAAUGGCUGGUGUUUAUAAUUUCUUUCUCUUUUUUCCAACCUUUUCAAGAUAAACUCUGAUCUUAACGAAUAGAUGUGUAUGCACUGGGUACCUGAAAUUGUACUAGGUGUUUGGGGCUAUAUAAUAAUGAUCAGACACAGAGCCCACCCUCAAGAAUCUUCUAGUCUAUGGGUGGAGACAAGGCAAAAAAAUAGAUAACUAACAUGAACAUGCAUGCAGAUAAAGGCAAUGAUUAUACAAGUAUUACUGACAUGGUUAAGAGGCAUAGGAGUAGAGGGGGAUGCAAUUAAUGAAGAAGUUAGAGGAAUGAACCUCAAAUUUUUUUUCCUGAGACAAGAUCUCACUCAGUGGCCCAGGCUACGGUGCAGUGGCGCAAUCAUAGCUCACUGCAGCCUCAACCUCCUUGGCUCAGGUGAUCCUCCCACCUCAGCCUCCUGAGUAGCUGGGACUGCAGGCUUGUGCCAUCAAGCCCAGCUAAUUUUUGUAUUUUUUGUAGGGACAGGAUUUCGCCACAUUGCCCAGGCUGGUCUCAAACUCGUGGGCUCAAGUGAUCUGCCUGCCUCGGCCUCCCAGAGUGCUAGGAUUACAGGCCUGAGCCACUGCACCUGGCCAAAUUCUUUUUAAAUCAAAGAAAAUGUGUACUUUUAAGUUUCUGAUACAAGACUACACACACAAGACAUGCUUGACAAAGGCUUGAUUUCAAGUAGCAGUUGGCAAACUAUCACCAAUGGGCCAAAUCGGGCUCACUGCCUGUUUUUGUGAAUAAAGUUUUAUUGGAACACUACCAUGCCCCUUUGCUUACAUAUUCUCUAUAGCUAUUUUUCUGCUGCGUAAAACACAAGUGGUUGCAACAGAGACCAUAUGACCCACAAAGCUUAAAUAUUUACUAUCUGACCCUUUAGAAAGUUUUCUCACUCAUGAUUUUAAGGAGUGACCUGUGGCCAUGUACAUAGAGGAGAUUACAGAUGAGAACUCUAGCAGUAGGAAAAACAAAAUUCUCACUAUUAAUGAACAGCAAGAAGACACACAUCACUGGAAACGGAGGUGCAGCUAAAAUUUAGAAAAAGAUGAGAUGAUCGAAUGAAAAGUUUAGUAAGUAAUACAGCAAUGGUUUAAAGGACAUUUACGGCAUAACCACCCAUCAUAGAAUCUAUAAAUUCUAUAUUUGCAUAGUAUAUAUGUUAUAGUGAGUUCUAUCUAUAAGCAAGUAUAUUUGCUUAUAGACAGAAGAAGAAAUGAAAUAUUUCUCUUUUGGUGUGGGUAACACUGCUUUGGAACAAUAUAAAAAUCUACAGAUCUGGUAAUUUGGGGUACCUAAAUUUAAUUUGCUCACAAAAUCAAAACUCGUAGCUAUAGGUGUCUUCGCUAAAGCAUGAUGCCUAUACAUCAAUAAAUUACACUAGCAGAAACCAUCUCACAUGCACUAAUUCAAAUUAUAAUUUUAGUUUAUACCCAAACUAGUUUUCUCGUAGAAAAGAACUAAGGAUUUGUAAUGUGCAAUGGAAAUAAACUUGCAGUUGGGCAUUGCACACAUAAUUCUGACCAAAUAAGACCGAACAAGGAGACAAAAAUAUUUCUUAAUAUAACAGGUUUUUCCCUUGGCAGUUUGUUUAAUACAUUAUCAGCAUUUGCUCCUCCCAUGUACUAUGGAUUUCUUAUGCUUUGCCAAAAGGAUGCAACUAAUAAAAGAAGGCUUUUUAGAGAAGUAAACCUUGAGUUCUUUUCAAAUUGAAGAAGAGAUACAUUUCUCCUCUCACCAAAGGAGAAAGUGUUUCUCAGGUUAAUACAUAUAAAGUUUUGGUUCUGAUGCUCAUUUUAUCUCCCAGUCAUCUCUGUCUCCUUUGUAUGCCUGUGUGGUCUGUUGUCCUGGUCAUCACUCCAUUUUGCCCUCACUAAUAAGUAAAUUAAAAAAUGCUUUUUAUUUACUGGCUAGUAUCAUCCACUAGAUUGUAUGCUCCUUGAGGGCAGGAUCUAUAUCUGGAAACUCCCAAAGCCUGUAGAAUAUGGUUAAUGCCCAGCAAAUAUGUUUUGAAUUUUGUAGUUUUUGCCCAUGAAACAAUAUUAUGACAUUAAUGUUAUUUCAUACAUACAUUUGCAUAAAGAGCUAGGAUUAACAUUAGAGUGUUCAUAGACUCCCCUACCUAGGAAAAGAAGGAGGAUCUAUGAUUAAGGGCCAUUCCAUUUAAAGUCUCUACUUAGUUUGUGUUCAUGGUGCUAUGUUUAUACUGAACAGGAGAGGGAUUAAUUGGGAAGGGGUCAAAAAUUUUAGGGAGGAGUUGAGGAUCAGAUAUUGACAUACUAAAGAUUAGCAAAGAAUUAAGUUCCGUAGCUGACAAAUGACCAACAAAUGAAAACUCAUUUCUUUAGUCUUUGUGGAAUUCAUCCAGCCAAUUAAUUCCAGCUUAUAAUAUUUCUGGUCCACAUUUGAUGCCUACAUUUAUGAAUUCUCUUGACAAUGCAGCACAUAAACACAGGCAUUGACAUGCUUAACCAGCUGGGUUGUGUUUUCUUUGCAGGCGUCAAACCCCAGAGAAAUAUCUGCAAUUUGUCAUCUAUUUGCAAUGACUCAGCAUUUUUUAGAGGUGAGAUCAUGUUUCAAUAUGAUAAAGAAAGCACCGUUCCCCAGAAUCAACAUAUAACGAAUGGCACCUUAACUGGAGUCCUGUCACUAAGUGAAUUAAAACGCUCAGAGCUCAACAAAACCCUGCAAACCCUAAGUGAGACUUACUUUAUAAUGUGUGCUACAGCAGAGACCCAAAGCACAUUAAAUUGUACAUUCACAAUAAAAUUGAAUAAUACAAUGAAUGCAUGUGCUGUAAUAGCUGCUUUGGAAAGAGUAAAGAUUCGACCGAUGGAACACUGCUGCUGUUCUGUCAGGACACCCUGUCCUUCCUCCCCAGAAGAGUUGGAAAAGCUUCAGUGGUAUGUAACAAACAUGCUGACCCUUCUCCUU